GAGAAUUCAUGAUGAAGUCUGGCAGUACAUCACAGCAUUUAUCAUCAGUGUUUUGUUAUAAUUUGUAGAAAUUCUCACAAAGUGGAGUUUAGUGUUGACAUUUUCUGCUGUGAUUUCUUCAGGGACUUCUACAACGUGCCCAAGACAAAUCCAGAUUCCUGAAGAAUCCUUUUAAGUGUUCAGAGGAAAGUCAAAGCAGUUCUGUUCUUUGAGACUAACCCAGCAGUGCAGCCUUGCCCUCCCUGCCCUGAAAGGCAUGGAAAUUACUCAGUGAAUCAGACUUGACAGAGAUCACUACAUUAGCAACAGAAAAUUUAAGCAGUGGGAAAACCUUAACCAGGACCUGGGGUCUGCGUCCUGAACACGGCUGGAGGCAUGACCCAGCUGGAAAACGUGUGCAAGCUGUUCCUUUGGACAGCAGCUUCCACAGACACAACUUGUGCUGCUUCUGCCUUGUGUGAGCCACCCCCUGCCACGCCCCAAACAGGCACUAAUGUCGAGAGCUCAGCAGAAACCUCCUGGGGAACAGCAGCAUUCUGGGCCAUAUCUGAGCAAUGUUCUCAGCUCAAAUUCUGAUCUGAGCAAUGUUAUGCUCCUGCCCCCACAAGUACCUGGAUUUUCUCCCUUACAAGUUCUUUUCUACCCAUGUUUUAUCUUCCCUUUCUUCUAUGCAGCUCAUUCAUUUUCAUCACCCAUUUUAAUCUUCUUAGCCCUUCAAGUAUGCUGUCUGUGCCCUCUAAAAUCAAGAGGGCCUGUUCCUCAGGCUGAAUUUUGCUGGCAUCUGAGUGCCCUUGAUUCAUGCUGGGAGUUCAGGGUGCCCAUGACUGAGUGCACUAUAAACUUGUUACAAUGCCGUUAAUGGCUCAAAUACCUUGAGAAUAUUUCAGGAGCUCAGCCUGGUGCUUGUGCAGAAAAAGAAAAGCUUUCAU